rnacentral:rRNA from 1 species
GGUCAACANUACGCUCGCGGCUCNCNACACAUGCACCUCGUGCGCGAACGGUACCUUCGGGUAUNUAGUAGAGCGGCGGACGGGUGAGUAACACGUGAGCAACCUGCCCGGGAGCGGGGGAUAACCUUCCCAACGGAGGGCUAAUACCCCAUAUGGCGGGAGCAGGACAUCCUGCAACCGUGAAAGCUUUCGAGCACUUCCGGAUGGGCUCUCGCGCUAUUAGGUAGUUGGCGGGGUAACGGCCCACCAAGCCUGCGAUGGCUAGCCGACCUGAGAGGGUGACCGGCCACACUGGGACUGAGAUACGGCCCAGACUCCUACGGGAGGCAGCAGUAGGGAAUAUUGCGCAAUGGGGGAAACCCUGACGCAGCGACGCCGCGUGAAGGAUGAAGCCUUUAGGGGUGUAAACUUCUUUUCAGAGGGAANAAACCUGCUUANCACUGACGGUCCUCUGGAAUAAGCUCCGGCUAACUCCUGCCANCAGCCCGGGUAAUACGGGGGGAGCAAGCGUUGUCCGAAUCACUGGGUGUAAAGGUGCNUAGGCGGAUCCAANUUUGNGGUNAAAUGGNGGUUACUGCACCUGCCGGGAAAUGUUCUUGAUNUGAAAGAACUNGAUUCUGGNUACNNAG